ensembl:lncRNA
GGAGGCGGGGCGGAAGUCCCGUCGUGCCGUGCGCGGCCCCUCCUGCCUGCUGGUCUGGGCUAGCCGCGAGCGAGAGGGCGGCGGGCAAGAUGGCGGCCGAGGCGGACUCCUGGGACGCGGACACCUUCGAGGCGCCGGACCCGCUGGCCGGGCUCCUCGGGCCCACCCCUGCCGUGGUGACCAGGGACCGCUGGGCCGGCGAGGACGAGGACGACGACGUCAAGGACAACUGGGACGACGAGGAGGAGGAGCAGCAGGAGGAGGACGAGAAGGAGGGCGAGGCCAAGCCAGGUGAGCGGCCGGGCGGCGGGUCCCCGGGAGCCCCGCGGGAAGCCCCCGCCGCCGCCGCCGCCUCCGCCGCUAACCCCGUGCCUCUCCGCAGAAUCCAAAGUUUCCGACAAGAAGAAAGUAGCCGAGAAGAUAAAGGAGCGGGAGAAGCUGCUGCGGAAGAAGCAGGAGGAGGCCAAGAAAAGGUUAGAGGAGUCGGAAGACUCGAAAGACCUGACGCCGGAAGAGCAGCUGGCAGACAAGCUCCGGUUGCAGAAACUGCAAGAAGAGGCGGACCUGGAGCUGGCCAAAGAAACCUUGGGGGGGGGGGGGGGGGGGGGGGGUCGUUUUGA